AGAGUUCGAUCUUGGCUCAGGAUGAACACUGGCAGCAUGCUUAACACAUACAAGUCAGACGGGAAGUGGUGUUUCCAAUGGUGGAUGGGUGAAUAACGCAUAAGAACCUACCUUUGAGAGGGAACAAUAGCUGGAAAUAGCUGUUAAUACCCUGUAGGCUGAGGAGCAAGAGGAGGAAUCUACCUGAGGAAGGGCUCGCGUCUGAUUAGCUAGUUGGUGAGGCAAUAACUUACCAAGGUGAUGAUCAAUAGCUGGUCCAAGAGGAUGAUCAGCCAUAAUAGGACUGAGACACGGCCCAGACUCCUAUGGGAGGUAGCAGUGGGGAAUUUUCUACAAUGGGCAAAAGCCUGACGAAGCAAUGCCACGUGGAGGUAGAAGGCCUAUGGGUCGUGAACUUCUUUUCCCAGAGAAGAAACAAUGACGGUAUCUAAGGAAUAAGCAUCAGCUAACUCUGUGCCAGCAGUCAUAGUAAUACAGAGGAUGCAAGCAUUAUCUAGAAUGAUUAGGCGUAAAGUGUCUGUAUGUGGCUUUUUAAAUUCGCCAUCAAAUCCUAGGGCUCAAACCUGGACAGGCGGUGGAGACUACCAAGCUGGAGUAUGGUAGGGGCAAAGGGAAUUUGCGGUGGAGCAAUGAAAUGCAUAAAGAUUGGAAAGAACACCAAUGGAAAAAGCACUUUGCUGGGCCAACACUGACAUCGAGAGAUGAAAGCUAUGGGAGCGAAUGGGAUUAGAUACCCCAGUACUCCUAGCCAAAAACGAUGGAUACUAGGCACUAUUCGCAUCGACCCGUGCAGUCCAAUAGCUAAUGCAUCGAGUAUCCCACCUGGGGAUUACGUUCACAAGAAUGAAACUCAAAGGAAUUAACUAGGGCCUGCACAAGUGGUGAAGCAUGUGGUUUAAUUCGAUGCAAAGCGAAGAACCUUACCAGGGCUUGACAUGUCGCGAAUUCUUUUGAAAGAUAGAGGUGCCUUUGGGAAUGCGGACACAGAUGGUGCAUGGCUAUAGUCAGCUCGUGCCGUAAGGUGUUGGGUUAAGUCCCACAAUGAGUGCAACCCACAUGUUUAGUUGCCACCGUUAAGUUUGGAACCCUGAGUAGAUUGCCGGUGAUAAGCCGGAGAAAGGUGAGGAUGACGUCAAGUCAUCAUGCCCCUUAUGCCCUCGAUGACACAGUGCUACAAUGGCCGAGACAAAGGGUUAUGAUCCUACGAGGGUGAGCUAACUCCAAAAACCCAUCCUCAGUUUGGAUUGUAGGUGGCAACUCGCCUACAUGAAGCGAGAAUAGCUAGUAAUCGCUGGUUAGCCAUACGGCGGUGAAUUCAUUCUCGACCCUUAUACGCAUCGCCCAUCACACUAUGAGAACUGGCCAUGCUCUAAGUCCUUACCUUAACUACAAGGAGGGGGAUGCCAAAGGCACAGCUAAUGAUUGGAGUGAAGUCGUAACAAGGUACUCAUACUGGAAGGUUCAGCUA
rnacentral:rRNA from 1 species